GAUCAGGCUCAGGAUGAACGCUAGCUACAGGCUUAACACAUGCAAGUCGAGGGGCAGCAUGGUCUUAGCUUGCUAAGGCCGAUGGCGACCGGCGCACGGGUGAGUAACACGUAUCCAACCUGCCGUCUACUCUUGGACAGCCUUCUGAAAGGAAGAUUAAUACAAGAUGGCAUCAUGAGUCCACAUGUUCACAUGAUUAAAGGUAUUCCGGUAGACGAUGGGGA
rnacentral:rRNA from 1 species